GGGGCUGACUGGAUUUGACAGCGGGAUGAAAUGGUAUGUAAGCACGCGGAGCGUAGGUGGCUGGCUCCAUAAUCCCAGUGAUCAACAAUUUAAUUGGCGAAAACAAUUACGCUCUCGCUGCCUAACUGAAGCACAGUAGGUUUUGGGCUUUAUUCCGUCACCAGGUGAUGGAACGAGACAUCGCUCAGAGGCUGUUGUUCCGAAGCCAGCUGAUAUAGCGGUGCAGAGAAAUCGGAAAUAGUUUGCCGUUGCCUCGCACGGUGAGCGAAAUUUUAGAGGAUAAGGCAUGGGUUGGUGGUUCGGGUCUUGCCCAUGCACGAAAAUGAAGUCCGAAAUAAGCGUGUAGAAAGCGUAUGGUUUCCCUGUUUGGACGUGGGUUCGACUCCCACCAGCUCCACAA
rnacentral:tmRNA from 1 species